AUGCAACCACAAGGUCGUGCCCACAUCCUCACCCGAGCCUGCAUUGCUCUCACGCUCCUACUAACCACGGUAAACACCGCGUCGGGCCGCCGUCCCCCGCCCCCUACCCAUGGCUCCGGCCAGACCAUAACGCUCUACACCAUCGGAGCCGCACCACCAAAUGCCGGCGGCACCCCUUCCUCGAAACACCCCGCCUUCACCAGCCAAGGCCCGAUCGGCCACCCCGGCAGCUGGCUGCGCACCUUGACGCUGCCUGGAGCGCUUCGGCCUGGCACUGUGACCGUGAUUGACGAGCAGUUCCACGGCAAGAGAGAGUUUGGGCUGCCCUUGGCUGGGAAGCUGCAGGGCGUUCUUGUCACCAGCUUGGAUGAUAACAGCAGCCGUAUGGUGGCAGUGAAGGCCCUGUUCACCGGCGCUGGCGCAGAAGACAGCAUCAGGUUCUUCGGAGUCCAUCGUGAUGGCCAGGAGGAGUCUCAUGUCGCGGUGGUCGGAGGGACGGGAAGGUACGACGGCACCACCGGUUUCGCUGUUAUCAGAGCAGCGGAUGUACCUGAAACAAGCGGAAAUGUCAGCUUCAGCAGGAUUCUUAGUUUCAGUGUGCACCUCAAGUGA
rnacentral:rRNA from 1 species